rnacentral:rRNA from 1 species
GGACUACAAGGGUAUCUAAUCCUGUUUGCUCCCCACGCUUUCGCGCCUCAGCGUCAGUUACAGCCCAGAGAGUCGCCUUCGCCACUGGUGUUCCUCCACAUAUCUACGCAUUUCACCGCUACACGUGGAAUUCCACUCUCCUCUUCUGUACUCAAGUCAUCCAGUUUCCAGUGCGACCCGGGGUUGAGCCCCGGGAUUAAACACCAGACUUAAAUGACCGCCUGCGCGCGCUUUACGCCCAAUAAUUCCGGACAACGCUUGCCCCCUACGUAUUACCGCGGCGGCUGGCAC